rnacentral:rRNA from 1 species
AUUGAACGCUGGCGGCAUGCCUUACACAUGCAAGUCGAACGGAGUGGCGGACGGGUGAGUAAUGCCUAGGAAUCUGCCCGGUAGCGGGGGAUAACUUCGGGAAACGGUCGCUAAUACCGCAUACUAUUAGAUGAGCCUAGGUCGGAUUAGCUAGUUGGUGGGGUAAUGGCUCACCAAGGCGACGAUCCGUAACUGGUUUGAGAGGAUGACCAGUCACACUGGGACUGAGACACGGUCCAGACUCCUACGGGAGGCAGCAGUGGGGAAUAUUGGACAAUGGGGGAAAGCCUGAUCCAGCCAUGCCGCGUGUGUGAAGAAGGCCUUCGGGUUGUAAAGCACUUUAGGCUGGGAAGCGGUACCAACAGAAUAAGCACCGGCUAACUACGUGCCAGCAGCCGCGGUAAUAC